rnacentral:rRNA from 1 species
GGCUCAACCCAGAGACUGCUUCCGAAACUGCUGUGCUAGAGUGUGGGAGAGGCGCGUGGAAUUGCAGGUGUAGCGGUGAAAUGCGUAGAUAUCUGCAGGAACACCCGUGGCGAAAGCGGCGCGCUGGACCACAACUGACGCUGAAUGACGAAAGCUAGGGGAGCAAACAGGAUUAGAUACCCUGGUAGUCCUAGCCCUAAACGAUCAGGACUUGGGGUGCCGCACGUUCGUGCGUCGUCCCGGAGCUAACGCGUUAAGUCCUGCACCUGGGGAGUACGGUCGCAAGACUGAAACUCAAAGGAAUUGACGGGGGCCCGCACAAGCGGUGGAACAUGUGGUUCAAUUCGACGCAACGCGAAGAACCUUACC